GAACCGCCGCGAGCUGUCCCUAGCAGUGCCUUAGCCAGGGACCUGCUUGGCCAGCGACAGAUCCUUUGCUGCUCUGUCUGCCGGUUCUUGAGAUGGAGUCUCUCACUCUGUUGCCCAGGCUGGAGUGUUGUUGAUGGCAACAGUGGGCCAUCUGGACCAUCUGGAGUGGCCACUGCCAAGAUGCUGGCUGCAGCCAGGAGGCUCUGCCCAUGCUGUGAGCUUCACAGAGCCAGAGGGAGCGGGGACAAGCAGGAGCCCAGCUCCUUCCAAGUUGGCGGGUGGGAGCUCCCCAGGCAUAGCUGCAGCUGCCCAAGUCAUGGCUGCUGGCUGAGCCUCCCUGUGUUCUUGGAGACCAGGAGCAGGCAGGAGCCCUGCUCUCCUGGGUGCAACUGCAGCCACCCAAGUCCUUGCUACAGACCGUGUUCUUGGAGGCUGGGAGCAGGCAGGAGUGCCAAAGCAGGCAGGAGUGCUGGAGCAGGCAUGAGCCCUUCCUGCAUCCCCCACCUCCUUUGUGCAGCUGUAGCCACCCAGGUUGUGGCUGCGGACCAACCUGGAUAUCUCUGCACUCUAGGGGCCUGGGAAGGCACCCCCACCUCAGCAGGCUUGGAGGUAUCUGCUUCUGCUGCCUGGCCUCUCCCUGCUCCUGGUGACUGCUCUGAUCUAGGAGCAAGGUUGGGGCCGAGCCAGGGUGCUGUUGCAGCCCAGCCAGUUGUGCGCAUACUUGAGGCAGUGCUGACAGGCCAUUCCUCUGCUGCUUCAGCCCCCUCCAGACUUUGGGUGCUGACAAACAUAGAAGGGAGGCUGAGGGAAGGCUGAAGGCAGUUCAGCAUUUGCCUGCAGGUGCUUGUCCCCACGAACAGCCUGGGCACCAUAGAAAGCAGUAGGAGGCGACAUGCUCUGAGGCAGAAAGGGGCGGGUCCCCAGAAGGCCUGAAGCCUAAUGGCCAGGCCACCAGUCCCCCUGACUGGAGGGGGAACUGGUGGUGCUUUUUCUUGGACCUGCCCAUGGCCACCAAUGGACCAAUCAGCAUGCACUUCUUCCUCUCUGAGGCCCAUAAAAUUCCCUGGACUCAGCCAGACUGGGGGAGAAGACCUGCCAGCAGAGAGGAGCUACCUACUCCAGGGCCUCUUUUCUGCUGAGAGCUGCAGAGACAACAGGAGGACCAACCUGCAGAGAGGAGCUACCCACUUCAGGGCCUCCUCUUUGCUGACAGCUGCAGCGAUGAUGGGACAAGCUGCCUGCAGAGAGGAGCUACCCACUCCAGGGUCUCCUCUGAGCUAUUCUGUUGCUCAGUAAAGCUCCUCCUUCUCAGUAAAGCUCCUCUUCACUUUGCUCAGCCUCCACUUGUCUACAUACCUCAUUCUAUCUGGAUGCAGGACAAGAACUUGAGACCUGCUGAAUGGUGGGGCUGAAAGAGCUGUAACACAAACAGAGCUGAAACAUGCCCCUUGCUCACCACAUUGCAGGCAAAGAGGAGAGAAGAGCUGUGGCCCUUCAGGAAGCCCAGACCAGGAAGCUCCCUGAGCCAGGAUUGUGACUCCCGUUGGGGCCCUGCAUUUCCUGGAGUCUCCAAGCUUCUGGGCACCACUGUGGUGUACUUAGUCCAGUCACAGCCUUGCAGUGAGCCAGGGCCCGUACUGGCACCUGGAGCUGCCCACCCUGCUGCAGCAGCCAGCGUGCCUGACUGUGUGCAGUGGCCAGACCCCACACUCUUUCGCUCACACAUCCCUUGCUACUUCACGCCUGGCUCACCCUUGGCAGGGGCGAGAUACAGGCUGGUAGCAUUAGCCAAGCACAGCCUGCCAGGCUGAGUGGGCAGAACGAUCCCAGUGGGCCCAAGCAAAACUCAGGCAAAGGCACCACUGGCCACAGAGGUUUCUGACUAGAAAAGCAACACCCCAAGUAUCCUGUGACACAGUGGCAUGAUCUCAUCUCAUUGCAACCUCCACCUCCUGGGUUCAAGCUAUUCUUGUGCCUCAGCUUCUGGUGUAGCUGGGGCUACAGGUGCGUGCCACCACAUCUAUCUAAUUUUUGUAUUUUUUUUUUUUUAGUAGAGACGGGGUCUCACCAUGUUGACCAGGCUGGUCUCAAACUCCUGACUUCAGGUGAUCCGCCUGCCUCAGCCUUCCAAAGUGCUGGGAUUUCAGGUGUGGCCUACCAUGCCCAGCCUGUUAUGCCUCUUGAUUGACUCCUUUUUCAUAAUGAAAUGACCUUCUUUAUCCCUGAUAUAUCAGUCAGUGUUCAACCAGAGACACAAAACAAGUAAUUGAAUAUAUGUAUAUGUACAUAUGGAUUUGUUAAAGAGAAUUGGCUUACACAAUUAUGAGAGCUAGUUAGGCACUCUUAUAAUGCUGUUGUGUCUGAUGCUAGAAUUUGAUGUUGGCAGAGUAGUCAGAAAGGAAGAUGGAAGUAAAGUGGGAGAAGUCAAGGUCAGGCUGGAAGUCACAAGUACAAACUUGAACCUCAUGAAAAUGGACUGAAAUCCAUGUUAGUUCUUGUUGCCUUUGACCUUGGUGGUGAGGGUAUCCUUCAGAAGCUGGGGCUGUUUGUCAUAAACACACAUACAUAGGCCAGGAGUUGGAGAAGCUGAAGGAGGAUCUAGAGGAUGGUAGAGUAGUUGCAGGCCAAGCUGCUACAAAAUGAGUCAACAAAGUGAGUCACCAGUCAGCAACAACAUAUGUGAACUACAAAUGGCUACUAUUUCCUUUCCACAUUACACAUCUCCCAAAAAUUGCCUUUUUGGCCCGCCCAAACUGUAAACAUAAAAUAAAUAAUUCUAGGAAAACUGGUGCACUUUAAGCAAGAUGACACAUUAUAAAAGCAUCAUGGUCUGCCCCUUGUCAACUUAGUACCAUACAUGUUUCUUUAAGCCAUACUUUAAUUCUCCAAAUUAUGAUAACAAUGAAGUUGUGCUUUCACCUUACAUAACACUACUAUCACAUAACUAUUAACAUGCUAACCAUUUCCCAAAAGAGGAAAAUAGUCUUUUUGUUGGUCCAUGAAUGGCAUUCAUUCUGCUCCCAGAUGAUAACCCUCCUUCUUUCAUAUCCUAUAACUUAAAUACUGACAUAUAAAGUUAACUAUUAACACAUAUUGUGUUAGAUGAUAAGAUGAGAGAAGGAAGAAACAUAAAUUUUCAAGUAGUUUCCAAAAGAAGCUGGGUGUAUAUCAUUGCCCACCAGAAUGUUCUUCUUGAAUUCAACUAGACUUUUAGACCUUCAAGACUACUGCAGAUCACCCUUGGCAUCAGAUUAACUUAGAAGGAUAGGACAGAAGCCACAGCUGACCAGUAGGCAGCACCUACCCCUCUUCGGUGGUAGUGGUACUCACAGUAUUUUACACAAGCAUGCAGGGUUUUUUUUUUUUUUUGGCCUUCCCAUUCCAAGUUGACAGCUCAGAUGCAAGGAGAUGAGACUUACAUUGGGAACCUGUGGGAUGCAUCUGGAUUAGAAACUUCCACAGGAGCUAAUAUGUCUUAUAGCAACUCCAUGGACAUAGCUUCUAGAAUUUCUGUAAGAGACAUGCCAAUUACAAGAGUCACUAUACUCAGGGAGGCCCAAAGUUAUAGUAUCCAUUAGCAUAGUCAAUAUUUAUAGUUCAUUUAUAAUUCUUUUGGUAAUCAGGAAACAUUUUUACCAUAAACAAUAUUGUUGGGUAACAUAAUUGACCUAUUAAUAAGUUUUCAAUAAAACAGAAUGAGAAAAUUAACCAAAGGUUAAUUCUCAUGUACAAAGGUAAAGUGUUUUGUUAACCUUUUACCCAAAAGUGAUGAUAUGAAUGUAGAUUUUUUUGGGUGUUUGACCAAGGAAGCCAAACCAUUCUUUCAGAUUAUGUUAGAUUUGUAGCUUUGUGGAGUGUUGCCAGAGAUGUUGCUUUCUGUGUGUGAGUUUGAUGAGCUAACCUGGAGUUUGUUUGUUGGACUGGCCAAAACAAAUCUGAGCCAACUAUGGUCCAUAUCAGCUGACACUGAAGAAGUUCCUCUCAAUGAAGUAAAUGGAAUUGAAGGGUUUCCAGAGAGAUUAGCAGUGAUAAUACAGGCAUGGGAAGUGAUAUAAAAUUCUCAAGAAUGAAACUGAUAGGCCACCACCAAUAUUCUACCUGAAUUCUAUUUCUCAUUUCACUUGGGGGAAACUAGGUCAAACUAACAUGUGUACUAAUAUAUGUCUAACUUAGGCAUACGCUCUAGAGCAGUGAUUCUCAAUCUUUUUGAGAUAGUAAAUUUAUUUGAGAAAAGGAUGAAAACUGCAGACUUCUUCCUCAGAUAAAUGAACAUAAAGACCUACAUGUGGACUUUUGCUUAUCAUGUAUUGUAUUGGAAAUUAAUUUUCUUUGAUACUUAGACUGUGUAAACAAUUUUCACAAGGAAGGGAUUUCAAUUUAAAAAUCAAUUUCCAGUUCUGGGG
rnacentral:lncRNA from 1 species